CAUCAAUCCCUCAAUGACCCCAAAAAAGUCCUAGCCCCUCCCCCCGGGGCGCGGUUACCCCAUCCCUUUCCACCUAAAACAGAAAAACCAAAAUGAAGAAAAGGAACAAAAGAGGGAGAAGAAAGAAAAGGAAAGGAAGAAGAGGGAGGUGACAGAGGAUGGCCGCCGCCGUUGCGUUGUGGCUGUAGGACUUGCUAAGACGGGCUUGUCGUUCUUCAUCUCUCUCUCUCUCUCUGUUGGGGGUUCGUCGUGCCGCCGUCGCUGGGUUCAGCCGUUCCGUCGCUGUUAGACCAAUCCUCUACUGCUCCCCUCAUCUUCUCUAUGCAUCUGCGGACUUUCUCUUCGCCGUCGCGGGGCCUGGGCUCCGGUUCCUCUCCUGUCACACUAUGUUUUGCUGCGCCGCCAUCGCUAGAGUUUCAACCAUUCUGUCGUUGUUGGGUGAAUGCUAGCCGGCAGUUUGUUGGAGUAGCUGAGAUGCUUGGACCAAUGGACUUCAACAAAGACACGAAAUUUUGAAAACUUUACAAAUUCAAUGGAUUCUUCCCAAUUUGGUGGCUUAUAAUAAAGGAUGUUCCCAAUGCUCACACUACUAGAAAAUUAGUUAUUACAGACAGAUAUUUUUGAUGAAUUUUAUCCUACAGAAAUACAGAUUGAAUUUCAGAGGAAUUUUUUAUCGAAAAAUAAAAAAAAUAAAUUAGCAUAAAUUAUAGACAGAAAACAGAAUCUGUCGAUAAUUCUGUCAGUAAAAUUAAUUUUUUUGUGGGAAAUGGUUACAGACGGAAAAUUCGUCUAUAAUUAAAUAGACAAAACGCUGGCGUUUUAUUAAAUUAUUACAGACGAAUAAAUUCGUCUGUAAUUUAAAAUUUUCCGUCGGAAAUAUUAAGUUAACCCUGAUUUUAUCACCACCCUUAUCGAGCUCCAUUCUCCUCCUGACCUAUGAACUCAUUUUCACCCUCAUCCCUUCCUCUUCAAAGUUGUCAUCGAACGCUUCUCCUCCGGUAGAAGGUGCUGUCGCCGCGCCGGGGACAGACCGUGGGUGCCUUUGUCAUCUGGGGAAGCUCUACUCGACCCUCUUCGCAUUGUUUCUCCUCUCCUCGCCGUCGCACCAAGUUUUGAGUUGAGCUCGUGGCGUCACCGUCACGAAGGGUUCCUCCCCUCCUCGCCGUGCAUCAUUUUUGAUUCUCUGCUCCUCGCCGUUUUUGCCUUUGAUUUUGUGAUUUCAUUUCUAAUUUUGUGAUUUCAUCUCUGCUUCCUUUCAUUUUUUCUUAUUUCCUUAUCAACCUUUUGGUUUAUUUCUUUGAUUUCUUCUGUUAGAAUUUGUUCCUGCAGAAUUUGAUUUAGUUAGUUGCUUUCUGGUGCUUAAAUUUUUUUUAAUGGGAAUAAUCAAGUAAUCUAUCUUUUCUAGGGUUUGGAGGCUAUGUCCAAAGCUGACUUGAGUUCACUGUGAAUCACUAUUAAUUGCCACAAGCUCUUCUCUUUUUUUCUUUAUUUGUUUAUUUGGAUCUUUAAUUUCGAGUAGCUGUGCUGUGAUUUAUGAUCUAUUCCACUCUCGAUUUCUUUUGAUGCUGUUUUUUUUCCUCCAAGUUUUUUAAUUGUUCAUUGUGUGAGCUGUCGAGCUGGGUCAAUUUUGUUAGUAUAUCACAAGUAGAAAACUUCUCGUGGUACUUUUAUUUGUUAAUCAAUAUAACUAGGACCGCAGCACCAUCUUUCAAUAAUCAAUACGUUGCAUGCUUCAUACAUCAAAGAUCCAUUUGUUGUGACAGCUUUAGGUAUCAUAGAAGCUGUAGCUGUGGUAACUUUGGAAGGCACUUCAUCUUCUUCAUCAACUUCAAUUACCAACAAUCCACACCUACGUCUAUUUUACUGGGCUUAAAGUUCUUCCAUGGAUGCAGAAUGCUUUAUAUUCUCAAAAUCCGUCUUAACUUGUAAACCUGAAAAAGUAGAAAUCCCUUAUCCUUAGUCCUGUCAUGUAGGUAUAAGUGGUCAAUAACAAGAUAUAUGCUUUUCUUGAUUAUAUCAUGUGAUAUUUACUUUAAAAGACAUAAAUUUUUCAGGUAGCAGUCAUAUAAGAAUUUACUUUUAUAUGAAGAUAAUACAUUUUAAUCACUUGUAAAAGGUAAAUCCUUGCCUGGAGUGUAUGGAGAUUUAUUACUAUAAUGUGCCAUUGAUCAUGAGUACUGAAAUGUAAAUAUGGUCCCAUCCAUUAUCCAAAUCCUAGUAUACAAAUCCCCAAGACCACACUAUAAUGAAAUUUAAAAUUAUUUGACAUAUUUAAUCUGUUUUCUUUUAUUGAUCAAGGUUGAGAGUCCAACAGAGUCAGUGUCUUUAGUCUUUACCUCUACUGUGCUUGUUUUUAAUUUUGGAGAAAUUGAGGAAGUGUGCAAUUAAUUAAUAAAGCAUCCAGAAAAUCUAAUAUGUUUUUUUUUUUUUUUUAAGAGUAGUUAAUAUUUUUAUGUGUUAUUAAGAAGUAAGAACUCAAAAAAAUGACUUCAACUUUUAACAUUUUCCAUGCUCAGCUUAUGCAACCAUACAAGAUUGAGAAAUAAUUUAGAAAAGAAAAUAAAACAAAUAAAUUAUCUACCUGAGCAGUUCUGCUAGGCAGUGACACCAGUAAGCAGUUUCGAAGAUUGAAGAUAAGGUACCAAGUUUUUUGUGUUUUUGUUAUUAGAAUGUGGAUGCACGUUAAUUGGUUGUAUCAAUGUGCAACAUUCGCUUUACAUUCAAAGCAAUUCUUCAUUUGUUUCUUGCAUGGUCCUGUUCUAAAUAUAUUGGCAGUUAAUUUAGUGCUCUGCAAAUGCUUCUUGAUAUGGCCAUUUUUUCAUUAAACACUUGACCAAGAAAACGUUCUCACCUAGCCUUGCCUAAAACCAACAACUUCUGGUUUCUAGGCUUGUUUGGUUCUACCGAUAUAGAACCUGCUGUGGUUUGAUUUGGGAUCUGAGACGUCAUUGAACAAAAAUCUGGACGAGGAUACUCUAAUGGUAUUGUCUCUGUUAAGAUUGGAUUAAAGCAGGGCCUGGAGAUGCUGAAUAUCUUCAAAAACUAUUCUGUCAAGACAUCUCUACUAAAUGAUUUUGACUUCUAUGAGAACCGAGAGAAAUUACUUUGUUCAGAUAAAAGAUCCAAGGGGGAGUUUGAUGGUUUAUUCUAGCUUCUUAUGAAAAACAUAAACCAAUUUUUUACUUUGCUAACCUAAUAAAAAAUUCAGCUAUUGGAGGAUCAGAACAAUAUCGAAGCAAGCCUAAGCGUACAAUUCGAAGACCGGAAGGAUAUGGGUAUGACAGUUACCAAAAUACUGCCAAAGCAGGAGAGAAAAAAAUAGGAAUACAAUCAAGUGGUACUAAAGAAGAUAACAUAGUCUCUCUUACAAAACAACUUUCUCUAAAUUCCUUUUGCAAAAACAAGUCUUCAAAUAGCUAGAUUAUUACGUUAACAAAUGUUAGUUUCUUAUUUAUUUCUUCAUUUAAUUUGGUGUCAUAUCCCCUUGUUCAAUGUUCACGAAUAUCUCUGUGAUUCUGUCUAAUUAAAUUGUGUUAUACCUAUGAUCAUAUUAACAUUAUUAUGUGCAUGAUUUGCCU